rnacentral:rRNA from 1 species
UACAGAGGGUGCGAGCGUUAAUCGGAAUUACUGGGCGUAAAGCGUGCGUAGACGGUAAUGUAAGUCAGAUGUGAAAGCCCCGGGCUCAACCUGGGAAUUGCAUUUGAGACUGCAUUGCUUGGGUGCGGAAGAGGGAAGCGGAAUUUCCGGUGUAGCGGUGAAAUGCGUAGAGACCCGGAGGAACACCAGUGGCGAAGGCGGCUUCCUGGUCUGCGACUGACGCUGUGGCGCGAAAGCUAGGGGAGCAAACGGG